GCUAACGCGUGAAACACUCCGCCUGGGGAGUACGGUCGCAAGACCGAAACUCAAAGGAAUUGACGGGGGCCUGCACAAGUGGUGGAGCAUGUGGUUUAAUUCGAAGCAACGCGCAGAACCUUACCAUCCCUUGACAUGGCAUGUUACCUCGAGAGAUCGGGGAUCCUCUUCGGAGGCGUGCACACAGGUGCUGCAUGGCUGUCGUCAGCUCGUGUCGUGAGAUGUUGGGUUAAGUCCCGCAACGAGCGCAACCCACGUCCUUAGUUGCCAUCAUUCAGUUGGGCACUCUAGGGAGACUGCCGGUGAUAAGCCGCGAGGAAGGUGUGGAUGACGUCAAGUCCUCAUGGCCCUUACGGGAUGGGCUACACACGUGCUACAAUGGCGGUGACAGUGGGACGCGAAGCCGCGAGGUGGAGCAAAUCCCCAAAAACCGUCUCAGUUCGGAUUGCACUCUGCAACUCGGGUGCAUGAAGGCGGAAUCGCUAGUAAUCGUGGAUCAGCACGCCACGGUGAAUACGUUCCCGGGCCUUGUACACACCGCCCGUCACACCAUGGGAGUUGGUCUUACCCGACGGCGCUGCGCCAACCGCAAGGAGGCAGGCGACCACGGUAGGGUCAGCGACUGGGGUGAAGUCGUAACAAGGUAACCA
rnacentral:rRNA from 1 species